AUGACAAAGAAAGGACGGAACAAUGGUCGUGCCAAAAAGGGCCGGCCACGUGCAGCCCAUCCGCUGCAGGAACAGUUCACGAUGCGUGCCCAAGGACUCCAACUCAAAAAAAAAAGAAAAGAAAUUCGUCAAUCGAAACAUAGUGGAGUCCACAACUGUUAGGGACAUUUCCGAAGCGAGUGUCUUCGACACCAGUGUGCUUCCCAAGCUGUGUGUGAAGCUGCAUCACUGUGAGUUGUACCAUUCACAGCAAGGUAGUCAGGAAUCGUUCUGGUGAAGUCUGCAAGAACCGAACACCCCCACCCCGAUUUAGACCUGCGGGUGCUGCCCCAUGACCUCUACCAAAGCCCAUGUAAGGAGCUGAGUUCUUAAGGACUGAAGAACAACUAUCACCUGGAAAAAAAUAAAAUGGAAAUUAUACUU